GAGUAAUCCAGCAGAAGCUCUUCAGAUACUCUCCUCUACACGCCUCAGUCUCAGGAGUCUGGCCACCAAAGCCAAGGUGUACAGCUUUGGCUAUGAGCAAGAAAGCCACACCUUCCUGCCUCACUUCACCAUGGGCAGCCAAUCAGAAGAAAAGUUGGCUUGAAGAAAUGCAGACCUUAAAGGGGGCAAGACUAAAUUACUUUCAUCAGACACAGGCAAAUCCACACAGACGUGGCCAC